UAAGGAAUAUUGGUCAAUGGGCGGAAGCCUGAACCAGCCAUGCCGCGUGCAGGAUGACUGCCCUAUGGGUUGUAAACUGCUUUUGUCCAGGAAUAAACCUAGAUACGUGUAUCUAGCUGAAUGUACUGGAAGAAUAAGGAUCGGCUAACUCCGUGCCAGCAGCCGCGGUAAUACGGAGGAUCCGAGCGUUAUCCGGAUUUAUUGGGUUUAAAGGGUGCGUAGGCGGCCUAUUAAGUCAGGGGUGAAAUACGGUGGCUCAAACCAUCGCAGUGCCUUUGAUACUGAUGGGCUUGAAUCCAUUUGAAGUGGGCGGAAUAAGACAAGUAGCGGUGAAAUGCAUAGAUAUGUCUUAGAACUCCGAUUGCGAAGGCAGCUCACUAAGCUGGUAUUGACGCUGAUGCACGAAAAGCGUGGGGAUCGAACAGGAUUAGAUACCCUGGUAGUCCACGCCCUAAAACGAUGAUAAACUCGAUGUUGGCGAUAGACAGCCAGCGUCCAAGCGAAAAGCGUUAAGUUAUCCACCUGGGGAGUACGCCCGCAAGGGUGAAAACUCAAAAUGAAAUUGACGGGGUCAUAGCUGUUU
rnacentral:rRNA from 1 species